CGCGUAGGCGGUUUUUUAAGUCAGAUGUGUAAUCCCCGAGCUUAACUUGGGAACUGUAUCUGAGACUGGAAGGCUAGAGUACUGGAGAGGGUGGUGGAAUUCCUCGUGUAGCGGUGAAAUGCGUAGAGAUGAGGAGGAACACCAGUGGCGAAGGCGGCCACCUGGACAGUAACUGACGCUGAGGCGCGAAAGUGUGGGUAGCAAACAGGAUUAGAUACCCUGGUAGUCCACGCUGUAAACGAUGAACACUUGGUGUGGAGGGAGUUGACCCCUUCCGUGCCGGAGCUAACGCGUUAAGUGUUCCGCCUGGGGAGUACGGUCGCAAGGCUGAA
rnacentral:rRNA from 1 species